rnacentral:sRNA from 1 species
AAUAAAUCAUUCUACUUUUCGAUAGUCUUCUACUGUUUUAGCUAACUAAUU